GACGUAGGGGGCGAGCGUUGUCCGGAUUCAUUGGGCGUAAAGAGCGCGCAGGCGGCUUGGUAAGUCGGAUGUGAAAACCCGAGGCUCAACCUCGGGCGUGCAUCCGAAACUGCUCGGCUAGAGGUAGGUAGGGGAGAUCGGAAUUCCUGGUGUAGCGGUGAAAUGCGCAGAUAUCAGGAGGAACACCGGUGGCGAAGGCGGAUCUCUGGGCCUUACCUGACGCUCAGGCGCGAAAGCUAGGGGAGCGAACUGG
rnacentral:rRNA from 1 species